rnacentral:misc_RNA from 1 species
GAUGAAGAACGUAGCGAAAUGCGAUAAGUAGUGUGAAUUGCAGAAUUCAGUGAAUCAUCGAAUCUUUGAACGCACAUUGCGCCCUUUGGCAUUCCGAAGGGCAUACCUGUUCGAGCGUCAUUUCAACCGUCAAGCCUGGCUUGGUGUUGGGCGUCUUGUCCCGCUAUGUGCGCGGACUCGCCUUAAAAGAAUCGGCGGCUGUAUGUUGGCCUGAUGCGUAGCACAAUUCGCAGACCAGGCAGGCGUACCGGCGGCCGGAAAGCACCUUUUUUUUUUGUUUGACCUCGGAUCAGGUAGGGAUACCCGCUGAACUUAAGCAUAUCAAUAAGCGGAGGA